GGCAGCGCACGGAGCGCGCCGGGCACCGACAGCCAGGAGGCUCGGUCGCCAAGAUCUAAGACACGGCAGUGCAGGUCCCAGUCCCUGCCCCUGUCGCAGGGGAGCCGCCCGAAUCCCUGGGAGACCAACCGGGAAAGUUAGCCAGGUUCCUCAGCAACCCGGCCACCCUCGCGCCCACCCCUCUUGUGUACGCACACGCAUCCACACCCCUUUCUGGGCUCCGUACUUGCCGUGGAAAUUCCUGGGGAGAACGGUCGCACUUUUCAGGACACCAAGACAAUUAAGAUCGUCAAAUUAAAAGGGGGGCAGCCAUCAAAGGAAAUGAGACAGACUUGGAUGGACUGGUAUGGAAGGAGGUCAUGAUAGACUGUCAAGUGAGAAGACAUGUAAGUCAAAGAACAGUAUGCAUAGCAUGAUGCAUUUCUAUCACAUGUGUGUACACACCUCUCCAUGGACAAAGGCCAGAGGUGAACUACACCAAGUUAUGUCUACACACUAAUUAUGUCUAGGCAAUUUAAAAAGCAGAUAUAGGUGUGUGUAUGUCCAAGGGGCACAGGAAGAAAGAGGAGACUUUGGCUCUGUGUAUGUGUGUGUGAAUCCAAGUGCAUGUAUGUGUCUGUACAAGUAUAUGUUAGGGUAUAUAAGAGUGCAUGUAUGUAUGU
rnacentral:lncRNA from 1 species